GUGAACGCUGGCGGUAGGCCUAACACAUGCAAGUCGAACGGCGGCACAGUAAGAGCUUGCUCUUACGGGUGGCGAGUGGCGGACGGGUGAGGAAUACAUCGGAAUCUACUUUUUCGUGGGGGAUAACGUAGGGAAACUUACGCUAAUACCGCAUACGACCUACGGGUGAAAGCAGGGGAUCUUCGGACCUUGCGCGAUUGAAUGAGCCGAUGUCGGAUUAGCUAGUUGGCGGGGUAAAGGCCCACCAAGGCGACGAUCCGUAGCUGGUCUGAGAGGAUGAUCAGCCACACUGGAACUGAGACACGGUCCAGACUCCUACGGGAGGCAGCAGUGGGGAAUAUUGGACAAUGGGCGCAAGCCUGAUCCAGCCAUACCGCGUGGGUGAAGAAGGCCUUCGGGUUGUAAAGCCCUUUUGUUGGGAAAGAAAAGCAGCAGGUUAAUACCCCGCUGUUCUGACGGUACCCAAAGAAUAAGCACCGGCUAACUUCGUG
rnacentral:rRNA from 1 species